UAAAAAAUUUAUGGAUUUCUUUUAUUACGGCGAGUGAGCGGAAAAACUCUAAUUUGAAAUCUGGCACCUUCAGUGUCAGACUUGAAAUAUGAAAAAGGUACUCUGGAGUUAGCUCUUGUCUAUGUUCCUAGGAACAUAUACGUCACAGAGGGUGAGAAUCCCGUGCGAUGAGAUGUCUAACUCUAUGUAAAGUGCUUUCCAAAAGUAGAGUUGUUUGGGAAUGCAGCUCUAAGUGGGUGUUAAAUUCCAUCUAAAGAUAAAUAUUGGCGAGAGACCGAUAGCGAACAAGUACAGUGAUGGAAAGAUGAAAAGAACUUUGAAAAGAGAGUGAAAAAGUACGUGUAAUUGUUGAAAGGGAAGGGUUUGAGAUCAGACUUGGUAUUUUGUAUGUCUUGCUUUCGGGUGGGGCCUCUGCAGUUUACUGGGCCAGCAUCGGUUUGGAUGGUAGGAUAAUGACAUUGGAAUGUGGCCCUACUUUGGUUUGUGUUAUAGACUUUGUUGAUAAAACCUGUAUAGACCGAUGACUGCGUCUUGACUAAGAAGAUGCCACAAAAUCU
rnacentral:rRNA from 1 species